GCAAUAGGCAAACGGUAUCCCCUAUUUAGUCUUUGAUAGAAUGCUUGUAUCCGAGUAUAUGUUUUGUUUCUUGGUACCGAUAUUUUUGAUGUUGUAGGGAGCACUCUGUGAAGACACACAUGGAUGAUACUGAGCUUGCAGGACUCGAAUACGAGACCUCUGGUUAGAGAUGAAAGGACGCGUUCUUUCACAACAACCCUUGCCGGUGGAUUUCACGCAACCUUUGGAGUGAUGGAGUGAUGGAGCAAUGGCUGGAAUAUGGUUUUGUGGAGAAGCCAUAUGCCAUUGCCAUCUUAUUGGAGGCAAGUCACUUGGAAUUGGCUAUUAUCAGUUGUGGUUGUUAUUGUCACUUUGUCAGUGACUUUAAAUUUGAUGUAUUGUAACUUUAAAGGUUUUUGGUGUUGAACUGAUGAUGUAUAUAUAAUAUAAAAUUAGGUAAUAA